rnacentral:rRNA from 1 species
GGACUACCCGGGUAUCUAAUCCUGUUUGCUCCCCUUGCUCUCGCGCCUCAGCGUCUGGUUCAAGCUAGAGAACCGCUUUCGCCACAGGUGUUCUUCCACAUAUCUACGCAUUUCACCGCUACACGUGGAAUUCCGUUCUCUCCGCCUAUCCUCAAGGUAUACAGUUUCAAAUGCAGCUCCGAAUUUGAGCUCCGGAAUUUCACAUCUGACUUGUAUUCCCGCCUACGCGCCCUUUACGCCCAAUAAUUCCGAUUAAUGCUUGCACCCUCCGUAUUACCGCGGCUGCUGGCAC